UACGUAGGUGGCAAGCGUUGUCCGGAUUUAUUGGGUUUAAAGGGUGCGUAGGCGGUUCUGUAAGUCAGUGGUGAAAUCCGGCAGCUCAACUGUCGAUGUGCCAUUGAUACUGCAGAACUUGAGUACAGACGAGGUAGGCGGAUUUGACGGUGUAGCGGUGAAAUGCUUAGAUAUCGUCAAGAACACCGAUAGCGAAGGCAGCUUACUAGACUGUAACUGACGCUGAUGCACGAAAGUGUGGGGAUCAAACAGG
rnacentral:rRNA from 1 species